rnacentral:rRNA from 1 species
UGGCGGACGGGUGAGUAACGCGUGGGUAACCUGCCUUACACAGGGGGAUAACACCUGGAAACAGGUGCUAAUACCGCAUAAGCGCACAGGGCCGCAUGGCCCGGUGUGAAAAACUCCGGUGGUGUGAGAUGGACCCGCGUCUGAUUAGCUUGUUGGCGGGGUAGAGGCCCACCAAGGCGACGAUCAGUAGCCGGCCUGAGAGGGUGGACGGCCACAUUGGGACUGAGACACGGCCCAAACUCCUACGGGAGGCAGCAG